rnacentral:lncRNA from 1 species
GGUGAUAGAGAGGGCAUGUAGUCGGGCCUCUCGUAGUCUGGAUGGUCGCCGCUCCGCUAGCAGAAGAGGUGUACCCUCGUCCGAUCGGUCCCGACGCAAAACUCUAGCUCGUGGGAGCAAUGGUGGACUUCGACGCGUGCAUACAAUAGAGAUGAGAGGCUGCCAGUGGUGAGUUCCUUUACACAGACCUCACCACAUCCCCGUCUAUAGGAUGACCAUGGCCGGAUGUAAGUGGAUUGUCGUCAAAUUGCAAAAUAUGUUAGAAACCAUAGAUAUAGAUCCUCAGUCCUGGCCAUGAGUUAGCUAAUUUGAUUCUGUUUUUCGACCAAGGGGUGUUAUCUAUCUACCACAAUAAUAAGCAGGAUAUCUUGGUCAAAGUGAGAGAAAAAAAGAUGGUUUUUCAAAAAGGCUGCCAUGUAAAUCUGGCACUGCAUCAUUGCCAUUUGUGAUGUUUUUAGCAGUAUCUGCUUAUUAUGGCUCACCUUGUAUUAAUUUUGUAAUUACUGAACAUUAUCAUUUCCGUUAGUGCUAAAUAGGGAUCUGCUUAGGAACUAAUAUAUGUAGAUUUUUCUUUUGCGAAUGGUUCCAAUAUUUGACCACUUGAAUUAUUUAUGUGCAUUGUAGAUGCAAGAUGAAGCUAUAUGUUCUGAAGUUUUGGGGUCUCCUGGGCACAAGAUUCAUUUAACAGAGCUGCUAAUGUUGGUUAUCUAAAUGCUUCGUUGGAAGUUUCCAGAAAAUAAUGUUUGAAGGAAAAUAUUUAGUCACGAUAUUUUUUCAGAGAAGAGCAUUCUCUAUUCACUGCUACUUGUUUUAACAUAAUAGAGAGUAAUUUACGGUAAUUUCAUAUAAUUUAAAGUUAUAUCAGUCCAAUAAUAUAUAGAUGAACCCUUUUCCCUUAAAUUAUAUGCAUAUAUUUUCUUGGCACUACUGUUGUUUGGUGAUGUUACUAAGUGUGUAUGCAAAUUAAUAAGUUCAAAAUGGAUGUG